ACACAUUGCCAGCACGAUGGCCGCUGAUACAGUGAGCUGAUUAAAAAUAUAUGUAUUCAAAAGAAGACAGAAAUUAAAAUAGAAAUUUAAAAAGGCAUAUGGAAAAGCAAGACAGGAUGAGGGCCAGGCUAAAAAAAAAAUUAGGAGUCAAGAAGCCAUUGAGCUAUUUUAGAGCUGUAGAGCUGGUCAAGCUGAGAUGCUUUAUUAUUUUUCCUUGUGGAUUUUUGGAUGGGUAACAGAGUCUACUUAAUAGAUAUUACUUCUUGUGCAAAUAAAGUAUGAGUCUUCCUAUUCUUUUAUGAAAUAUCCAGGGGCACAUCUGUUUGUGAUCUCUAGUGCUGUCAAGUUCAUUUGGAACUGUCAACUGUGUUUCCAGGAAUUUUAGGAAAUGAGGAACAAAGUCUUGUUAUUAUAGGAAGCUGAUCUGGGGAUGCAUUUUUUAAAAAUGAUGAAGAAAAAGCCCUUCAUGCGCAGAUUCUAAAUUAUUUCAAAUUUCUGUCAGGUAUAUAUUCACUGGGAUAUUUUUUUUUUCCAUUUCAGUGGGUAAGACGAAGAAGAAAAAAAAAAAAAUGUGGUUCAGCCUUUGAGAAUAAUCCUCAAUAUAGGAUAAGAUAGGAGACAAAAGGAUAUUGAGGGUUCUCUUCCCUUUUGAGGAUUUCUGGAAGUAAAUUUUAACAUUGCUGUUGGCACCAAGAGUCCCAUCACUGCUUCUCAUAAGUUCUCCUGCAGCACUGCUAUUGAUGCUGGUCUUAUAACAAGAAUAGCAUGGGACCAGAUCGCUCAUAGCCCUUAAACUGAAUGGCAAACAACAGCACAGAGAAGCAGAGUUUCAGCUAUAGAUAGAAAGGUUACUGUUUGUUCUUGUGUGUAUGUUAAUUUAUUCUCUGCAGAAGUGGAAAAAUGAGUUUAAUCCAAUUUUGGCUGACCAAGAGAAAGACAGGUAGUUUCUGUUGUUUUUUUCUUAUAAGACUCUUAACAGACUCUUUCCAACACAAGGGGUGGGGUAGGAAAAAAGCAAGAUAAACAGCCAACUUCCAGGUAAUUAAUACUCAUUACUCCUUCAUCAAAGAACAAAUGAGGUGUAGUGUUUUCCAUGUUCAUUUCUGGAGAUCCAAAUCUUGGGGUUUAUUUGAUACAAUAUGCAAUGCUGUGAAGAAAACCCAGGCAUCUUGCCCACUAGCCUUGUGCACUAGAUGUCAGAUUGCUGGAGAGAAUCAUUCCAAGCCUAGGUUUCACCACUGCUUUUUGCAUCACUGGCAGCAUAACCCUCUUGCAGAUUGAAUGAUCCCAUCUACAGCUCCUUUCUGCUUCUGAGGACCCAUACAGGACUGCAACAUCAACAUCUAGAGCAGAACAGUGAGGAUCACGGCUUGGAAUACAGCAACAGCAAAAGGAUACAGAAAAGAGAAGAAACGGGAAAGCAAAUUAUCUGGGGGCUCAUUGCCUGCAGCUCCUGUCAUCUGCCCCACCAGCAGCAGAAGUGUGGUGCCCACAUAUAAACACUGAGCAAAAUGAGCUUCUCACUGCUGCACCACAAUUACCUCUGCUCAGCUCAGAGAGGAGCCAGACCUCUCCGCACCAGAUCCGUGAUGUACAGCACUGAAUUGUGCUCUGUUUAAAGGCUGUGAGAAUUUUGAUCCUGUUUCCUAUGGGAUAGAGAACAAAGCUUGA
ensembl:lncRNA